rnacentral:rRNA from 1 species
UUGGUGAACCAGCGGAGGCAUCAUUA